rnacentral:rRNA from 1 species
AACGAACGCUGGCGGCAUGCCUAACACAUGCAAGUCGAACGGGAUCCGAGCUUCGGUUCGGUGAGAGUGGCGGACGGGUGAGUAACGCGUGGGAACCUGCCCAGUGGUGGGGGAUAACUGCGGGAAACUGCAGCUAAUACCGCAUGAGCCCGAGAGGGGAAAGAUUUAUCGCCAUUGGAGGGGCCCGCGUUCGAUUAGGUAGUUGGUGAGGUAACGGCUCACCAAGCCUUCGAUCGAUAGCUGGUCUGAGAGGAUGAUCAGCCACACUGGGACUGAGAUACGGCCCAGACUCCUACGGGAGGCAGCAGUGGGGAAUAUUGGACAAUGGGGGGCAACCCUGAUCCAGCAAUGCCGCGUGAGUGAUGAAGG